GGCUGGCUAGCUCAGUUGGUUAGAGCGUGGUGCUAACAACACCAAGGUUGUGGGCUCAAGCCCCAUGCCGGCCA